GUAUGUUGUUGAUGUUGCUGUAACUAAAGGCACGUUGCUGUCAGUUUAUGAUCUGCUAAUGAGUUUUUUAUCCCGCAGGCAACAGGGGUCCCAGAAAAUUUUAAACAGGAAGUUACGUAAUUAGGUUUGUGUUUGACAGAGAUCUCUGUGGACCAGUGGUACUUGACCUUAGAACCUCUUGAAAUUCUAUUUAGGAUAGUCUGUGUAAUUGUAUAUGUGUGCUUCACUGCAGGGAGGAUCCCUGGCUCUAUUUAGAGCUUAAGGUCUGUGGCCCUGUAAAGGUCAAGAACCACUGCCGACAGAAGCAGCAGGCAGGGGCGGUGGGAGGAGUGAGGUGCUGGCACAUCAUGCAAACACUCAAGGUGACCGAUGGAGAGGACCUCGUGCCGUGGAGUCGGAGCGGCCCUGUGCUGGGAGAUUCUUGCAGAAGAGAGAAGUCCCUCCUCAGAGUCCUUACCACAGGGCACCCUCUAGAGAGUCCAGAAGAGUUCGGCUACAGGGGCCAGGAUCUCCCACUGGACCCAAGAUUCGAGGGAAAUCAUGCAUCAAAAAAUAAGUUGAAGAGCAUGGCCAUCUUUCCAGCACUGGAUCAACCUUCUCUCUCUCUCUCUCUCUCUCUCUCUCUCUGGUAAUUUUCAAUUCUCUGCAGAGCUGCCCAAGAAAAGUCUUUGUUGUUGGCCCCAUCUCUCCAUCCCUUCUUACGUUCAACAAGCUUGCUCCACAAGCCCAUUGCAUAUUGGUUCCCAAAGAGUCCCUCAGUUUCCAAAACCACCUCUCCCACAAACAGAAUUUCCAUUUACCUAAGCUCAGUAGUAAGGAAAGACCCCUCUUUACUCACACACAACAUGAAAACACUUAAGCUGAAAAAAAAAAAAAAAGAGGCUAGAAGGAAAACCCAUAGAAACAGCCUCCGUAAAACAAUCCCUAUCUCCUACCCCAAGUGACUCUCCUGUUCCUUGGUAUCCUGGCACAUAGUCUUUACACAACCUUAACAUGGACUCACCUGAAAUGGUUUAAAUGUUCCAUAGAGUCUCCAUAGAGACUCCAUAGAGUCUUCUUUACUGUUCACAGGUGGUACCAGCAUCCAUCCAUCCAUCCAUCCAUCCAUCCAGUUAGUUCCACAAACAUUUUGCAGCAUCUAAAAUGUGCCUGCCCCUAGCGCAGGUGCUAGAGAGGGCAUGGGGAAAAGAGUGUGAACAAUGAAGGUCAAGUCUCCGCCCUCAGAGAGCUUACUUUCUAGCAUCAGAGGCAAAUUGCCCGGUGAAUAUGGAACUAUUGCUGGAUUAUGGGGGCAAGCAGAGGAAAAGAAAGAAAGAAACCAAGCAGAUUGUGCUUUAAGAAGGAUAUCAACCAUCUCAAUAGAGGACAGAGGGAAAGUCCUUGAGUUAAGAUGCUCCUUUAAAAAAGGUCAGAGAAGGCAGGAGAGAUGGUGAGACCCAGGGAAGAGGGAGCUUUGCAAAGCCUUCCUUCUCCACCAGCUUUUGGAGGCAGCUCUUGCUUGCUGAAUGUUGGGUGCUUCCCAAGACUCUGGCUGAUGGGAGGAAUGACGGAUGACCCCUGAACAGGAAGUGUGGCUCACAAAUAUAUAUAUGUAUAUAUAUCUGAAAAUUUAGCCCAUAGUGUAUCUCUAACCCAUCCCUAUUUCUAAGUGGGUUAGUGUCCGAGAGAGAUCUCAAGCACAUGUCUUCAUUACUCAGAUGUAAAGAUCCUGCCACUCACUACGUUUAAGUUUCCAUGCAGGCUCUACUCCUCUCUGUUGCAUUUUCCACAAGCAGCUGGAGCCUGGGUCUUUCAGCAAGACAGCCCCUUACAGCUCACAUCAGGGCUUCUCCGAAGGUGGGGACCUGCUGCCUUAGAAAUACCUGUGGUGCUUGUUAAACAAGAUAGAUUCCUGGGCGCUGGUCCAGACUCAUGAAUCAGACCCUCCAGAGAGGGGAUCCAGAAAUCUGUUUCGCAAAGGUCCCCAGGUGUUCACAUAUGCUCUACAGUUUAAGAAUCCGCAG
rnacentral:lncRNA from 1 species